GUGGUCUUAGUUUAACGGUAGAAUUGCUGGCUUCCAACCAGCGGGUAAGGGUUCGACUCCCUUAGACCAUA
rnacentral:tRNA from 2 species